rnacentral:lncRNA from 1 species
UUACAGUUUCAGACUGUAGCUCAGGCUCAGGACACACAGUGCAGUCCCUUAGUUUUGUUUUUGCUUUAUCUUUCCUUUUUUUUUUUUUUUUUUUUUUUUAAACUCACAGACAGCACAAGAAUUUUAAGAAUAUGCAGUAUGUCAAAAUUGGCACCUCUAAGCCUUCUCAGACAAGAGGAAUGGUUUUCCUGCAGCUCCCCAUCCUCCUCUGCCUGGAUUAGCCACGGACAAACAAAAGCAGUGGAUUUUAUCCACGGCUGGGUUGCCUAAAACAGGGCUGGGUGACAUACAAGACAGGCCAGGAAUAUUCAUCUUGGGCCAGAGAAACUUGGAAGCCAAUCCUGGGUCCCACUCCAACCUUUGCCUCAAGUUUCCUGUGAGGUCUGAAUGCUGGACUUUCAGAAGUGCUGUGAGCCUGGGUACAAUUUGUUUGGCACAUUUGGCCUAGGAUUCCAAAGGUAUGUUCAGUCCUUCUUACACACAAUCUAGCCUUAUAAACCCUCUUUGUGAAUAGACUUAUCUUGAAAUACUGUCUUUAUGCUCUCAUAACUUCUACUUU